UACGUAGGGGGCAAGCGUUGUCCGGAUUUAUUGGGCGUAAAGAGCGUGUAGGCGGCCAGACAGGUCCGUUGUGAAAACUCGAGGCUCAACCUCGAGAUGUCGAUGGAAACCGUCUGGCUAGAGUCCGGAAGAGGAGUGUGGAAUUCCUGGUGUAGCGGUGAAAUGCGCAGAUAUCAGGAAGAACACCGAUGGCGAAGGCAGCUCUGGUACGG
rnacentral:rRNA from 1 species